rnacentral:rRNA from 1 species
AGUAAGCGCACGAAGGCGUACACAACUGCCGAGGACAAGCUUCUUUACGAGUGUUGGCGAGACAUUGGACAAGACCCAAAGACGGGCUCUGAGCAAAAGCAUUCGACCUUUUGGACUCGUGUGCACCGCGAGUUUCAUGAGCGCAAGAAGUUUCCACCUUACCAAUUUGUGAGCAUGCGCGGGUGGGUCUCCAUUUCCAAGCGGUGGAGGGUGAUCCAAUAA